GCUUUUUGAGUAGCCCAGACUAAUUAAGCAGGCUGACAGGGUGUGAUGGGGCCAUAAUCCUGAUUUAAUGAGAGUCUUUUCUACUUUCCAGCCUCAUGGAUAGACCUAAAGAUCCUUACCUUGUGGCUGGAGCUCCUGGGAAUUGUCACCACAACUGUGUCCACCACCACCUGCCUCAGAGCUCAAUGCAGUCUUGACUUGCAGCUUGUUCACACAUGUGACACAAGCUGUACUUCGGGCUCCAAGGACAUCCACAUCUGGAGAUAGCUCUGAGCUUCAUGGUGGCCUCUGUGUAAAAUCAAGCCUUUGGAGGGCAAGAGCUGUGUUAUCUGCAGAAAGUCACAUCUGACUGUUAACUUCACAGUGCUGCACAUCUCAGCCAUAAGUGAAGGUAUGAAAGACAGGCUCUGCUUUGUGAUUUUGUUUCUGGGGAUGGAAAAAAGUGGAAUCCACCCUGCAUUUCCAUGGAUUUAGUACACAGAAUCUGUCUGUCCUACUGAAUAUGUUAGGUGUCAUUAUGUACUACCACAAAGCACACACACAGUGCACUGUAUGUAACAGAUACUUUUGAAAGAGCAAAGUACACGAAGUGAAGCAGUGACUGCUACACCCCUAGGUUUUCCAGAGAAGAAACUUCUUUUUACCUGAGCAAGGUCAACAAAAUGUCUAAAAGAAAUCGUAUUUGAGUUUUUUUGCUAAGGGAGGAAGCAGAUGAAAGAAGAGGAAGGGUUGUUUUCAGCAUCUUGAGUCUCACUCUUGAUUCAUGCCCUCUUGACACAGAUUAGGGCAGCCCUUGGACCAUAUUUCCUACAAAACCUCUUACCAAUUGUAUACAGUGAACACUAGUCAUGCCACCUCUGCUUCCCUCUUUCCUCCUGCUGGUAGGUAUCGCCGUCUUCGUACGACCAGCAAGUUCUUUUGCAGCUUUCAGGAGCUUCCUUGGGUGAGAGAAAUUUUCAUCUGCAGAGAUUUGGUUGCUGUUUAGCCUCUGUUCUUCUGAGACGUAACAGGAAUGUGCCUCUGUAGGUUUAGAAAUAGAUCAACUGCCCAUUUCCUGUGACUGCUUUAAUUUGAAGUAGUUCGAAGACUGACGCAUGAAAGUCACGGUGGGUGGAGAAAGGAGUGAGAUGAAAGGGAAGAGGGCAGGAAGGGUUUGGUUGUAUAUUUUUGUUUUUCAAUUGAAGUUUGAAUAAAGGUGC
rnacentral:lncRNA from 1 species